rnacentral:rRNA from 1 species
AUUGAACGCUGGCGGCGUGCUUAACACAUGCAAGUCGAACGAGGUCCAACCUUCGGGUGAAGACCUAGUGGCGAACGGGUGAGUAACACGUGGGGAACCUGCCCUUCUCUCUGGGAUAACGUCGAGAAAUCGGUGCUAAUACCGGAUACUCCUUGCGGAUCGCAUGGUCUGCUCGGGAAAGCUCCGGCGGAGAAGGAUGGCCCCGCGGCCCAUUAGCUAGUUGGUGAGGUAAUGGCCCACCAAGGCGACGAUGGGUAGCCGAGCUGAGAGGCUGAUCGGCCACACUGGGACUGAGACACGGCCCAGACUCCUACGGGAGGCAGCAGUGGGGAAUUUUGCACAAUGGGCGAAAGCCUGAUGCAGCAACGCCGCGUGCGGGAUGAAGGCCCUCGGGUCGUAAACCGCUUUCAGCAGGGAUGAAAUUGACAGUACCUGCAGAAGAAGCCCCGGCUAACUACGUGCCAGCCGCCGCAGUAACAC